AGUGAACGCUGGCGGUAGGCCUAACACAUGCAAGUCGAACGGCAGCACAGUAAGAGCUUGCUCUUACGGGUGGCGAGUGGCGGACGGGUGAGGAAUACAUCGGAAUCUACUUUUUCGUGGGGGAUAACGUAGGGAAACUUACGCUAAUACCGCAUACGACCUACGGGUGAAAGCAGGGGAUCUUCGGACCUUGCGCGAUUGAAUGAGCCGAUGUCGGAUUAGCUAGUUGGCGGGGUAAAGGCCCACCAAGGCGACGAUCCGUAGCUGGUCUGAGAGGAUGGUCAGCCACACUGGACCUGAGACACGGUCCAGACUCCUACGGGAGGCAGCAGUGGGGAAUAUUGGACAAUGGGCGCAAGCCUGAUCCAGACAUACCGCGUGGGUGAAGAAGGCCUUCGGGUUGUAAAGCCCUUUUGUUGGGAAAGAAAAGCAGCAGGUUAAUACCCCGCUGUUCUGACGGUACCCAAAGAAUAAGCACCGGCUAACUUCGUG
rnacentral:rRNA from 1 species